rnacentral:rRNA from 1 species
AUACGGGGGGUGCAAGCGUCAAUCGGAAUUACUGGGCGUAAAGCGCGCGUAGGCGGUUUGCUCAGUCGGAUGUGAAAGCCCAGGGCUCAACCUUGGAACUGCAUACGAUACUGGCAAACUAGAGUGUGCGAGAGGAUAGUGGAAUUUCCGGUGUAGCGGUGAAAUGCGUAGAUAUCGGAAGGAACAUCAGUGGCGAAGGCGACUGUCUGGCUCAACACUGACGCUGAGGUGCGAAAGCGUGGGUAGCAAACAGAAUUAGAAACCCCAGUAGUCC